CGUGCGCACGCGCCGAAUUCCGCAAGGAAACCGGGGAACCAUCAAUUGGGGUGAAUCGGGCAUCUUCUGCUGCCUCGUGCGGCGAGAAGGCGCUCGUAGGAGACCUUCCUGCUCCGAACCCGUCAGCUAACCCGGUAGGCGAGAAGGAAGGAAAGG
rnacentral:sRNA from 2 species